rnacentral:rRNA from 1 species
GACAGAGGGUGCAAGCGUUGUUCGGAAUUAUUGGGCGUAAAGCGCGCGUAGGCGGCUUGGUAAGUCGAAUGUGAAAGCCCGUGGCUUAACCAUGGAAGUGCGUUCGAAACUACCUGGCUCGAGUGUCGGAGAGGGUGGUGGAAUUCCCAGUGUAGAGGUGAAAUUCGUAGAUAUUGGGAGGAACACCAGUAGCGAAGGCGACCACCUGGACGACUACUGACGCUGAGGUGCGAGAGCGUGGGGAGCAAACAGG